rnacentral:rRNA from 1 species
AACGAACGCUGGCGGCAUGCCUAACACAUGCAAGUCGAACGAGACCUUCGGGUCUAGUGGCGCACGGGUGCGUAACGCGUGGGUACCUGCCCUUCGGUUCGGAAUAACUCCCCGAAAGGGGUGCUAAUACCGGAUAAUGUCUUCGGACCAAAGAUUUAUCGCCUUUGGAUGGGCCCGCGUUGGAUUAGCUAGUUGGUAGGGUAAAGGCCUACCAAGGCGACGAUCCAUAGCUGGUCUGAGAGGAUGAUCAGCCACACUGGGACUGAGACACGGCCCAGACUCCUACGGGAGGCAGCAGUGGGGAAUAUUAGACAAUGGGCGAAAGCCUGAUCCAGCCAUGCCGCGUGAGUGAUGAAGGCCUUAGGGUUGUAAAGCUCUUUUACCCGGGAUGAUAAUGACAGUACCGGGAGAAGAAGCUCCGGCUAACUCCGUG